AUGAACGCCUUGGGCACACUACAAGAGUACAAGGUGGUGGGUUGCUGCCUGCCCACCCCCAAAUGCCACAUGCUGCCCUUCUAUGGUAUGCGAAUCUUGCACCUAAUCAUGUCAUUGUCAAGUCCCGUCUCUGGUACUUGGUAUCUCAGCUAAAGAAGAUAAGGAGUCUUCAGGGAAAAUUGUCUACUGUAGGUAGGUGUUUGAGAAAUCCCCCCUGCAGGUGAAGAAAUCUGGCAUCUAGCUGCACUACGACUCCCGUAGCAGCACCUACAACAUGUACUGGAUAUCAGGACUUGACCACCAUGGGUGCUGUCAUCCAGUGCUAGUGAGACAUGGGCACCUGGCAUCACACACAGGCCCACUCCACCCAGAUCAUGAAGGUGGAGACUGCGGCCAGCAAGUGCUGCCAGCUGGCGGUCAAACAGUUCCAUGACUCCGAGAUCAAGUUCCCACUGCCCCAUGGGGUCCUGCAUGGUUAGCAUAAGCCAUACUUCACCACCAAGAGUCCCAACACCUUCUUCUAG
rnacentral:lncRNA from 1 species